rnacentral:rRNA from 1 species
CGCAUCUGUGCAUGCAGCAUAUCAAUAAGCGGAGGAAAAGAAACUAACAAGGAUUCCCUUAGUAACGGCGAGUGAAGCGGGAAGAGCUCAAAUUUGAAAUCUUCAAGGUUUUACCUUGACGAAUUGUAGUUUAAAGAAGUGUUUUCUGUUGAAGUUUUGGUAAAAGUUCUUUGGAAUAGGACAUCAUAGAGGGUGAGAAUCCCGUAUUUGACCAUUAUUUUCAGCUGUGUGAUACACUUUCAAAGAGUCGGAUUGUUUGGGAAUGCAGUCCAAAAUGGGUGGUAAAUUUCAUCUAAAGCUAAAUAUUGGCGAGAGACCGAUAGCGAACAAGUACCGUGAGGGAAAGAUGAAAAGAACUUUGAAAAGAGAGUUAAACAGUACGUGAAAUUGUCAAAAGGGAAGCGUUUGACACCAGUGUUGUUUUCUCGAAAAUCAAUUAAAAAGAGUUUAGAUUUUGUUGUGUAUUGACCUUAACAGCUUGCAUUUCAAUUUUCUUGCUUUUUUUAAUGCACUUUUCGUUUAACAAGUCAACAUCAGUUUCUUUUGUUGUAAAAAGGUCAUUGGAAGGUGGCUUUCUUUUCGGAGAAAGUGUUUAUAGCCUUUGACUCCUGCAAUCGGAGAGACUGAGGUCUGCAGCGUAGAUCCUUCGGGGUUAGAUACAUUUGUGCUAAGUUAUAGCUUUUUAUAGACAACUUGUUGACUAUGAUUAGUCUUGUAGCUUACUCGCUUAUGCUAUUUUACCUACGCUUAGGAUGUUGAACUCUAUCACACACAG